rnacentral:rRNA from 1 species
GAUGAACGCUGGCGGCGUGCCUAAUACAUGCAAGUCGAGCGAACGGACGAGAAGCUUGCUGCUCUGAUGUUAGCGGCGGACGGGUGAGUAACACGUGGAUAACCUACCUAUAAGACUGGGAUAACUUCGGGAAACCGGAGCUAAUACCGGAUAAUAUGUUGAACCGCAUGGUUCAAAAGUGAAAGACGGUCUUGCUGUCACUUAUAGAUGGAUCCGCGCCGCGUUAGCUAGUUGGUAAGGUAACGGCUUACCAAGGCAACGAUGCGUAGCCGACCUGAGAGGGCGAUUCGGCACCCCUGGACUUGGACACGGGCCAGACUCCUUCGGGAAGCAGCAGGUGGGAAUUCUUCCGAAAUGGGCGAAACCCUGACGAACAAACGCGCGUUGGGUGAUGAGGCCCUUCGGUUCGAAAACCCUUGUUUUUGGGAAGAAACAUCGCUGUAAGUAACUGGGCCUAGCUGACGGUACCCUAAUAAGAAGCCCCGGCUUACUUCGUU